rnacentral:rRNA from 1 species
UACGUAGGGGCAAGCGUUAUCCGGAUUUACUGGGUGUAAAGGGAGCGUAGACGGCAUGGCAAGUCUGAUGUGAAAGCCCGGGGCUCAACCCCGGGACUGCAUUGGAAACUGCCAGGCUGGAGUGUCGGAGAGGUAAGAGGAAUUCCUAGUGUAGCGGUGAAAUGCGUAGAUAUUAGGAGGAACACCAGUGGCGAAGGCGUCUUACUGGACGAUCACUGACGUUGAGGCUCGAAAGCGUGGGGAGCAAACAGGAUUAGAUACCCGUGUAGUCCCU